AUCGAUGAAGAACGCAGCGAAAUGCGAUAAGUAAUGUGAAUUGCAGAAUUCAGUGAAUCAUCGAAUCUUUGAACGCACAUUGCGCCCUUUGGUAUUCCGAAGGGCAUGCCUGUUCGAGCGU
rnacentral:rRNA from 1 species